UUGCGAACGGGUGAGUAACGCGUAGGUAACCUGCCUGGUAGCGGGGGAUAACUAUUGGAAACGAUAGCUAAUACCGCAUAAGAGUAGAUGUUGCAUGACAUUUGCUUAAAAGGUGCAAUUGCACCACUACCAGAUGGACCUGCGUUGUAUUAGCUAGUUGGUGGGGUAACGGCUCACCAAGGCGACGAUACAUAGCCGACCUGAGAGGGUGAUCGGCCACACUGGGACUGAGACACGGCCCAGACUCCUACGGGAGGCAGCAGUAGGGAAUCUUCGGCAAUGGACGGAAGUCUGACCGAGCAACGCCGCGUGAGUGAAGAAGGUUUUCGGAUCGUAAAGCUCUGUUGUAAGAGAAGAACGAGUGUGAGAGUGGAAAGUUCACACUGUGACGGUAUCUUACCAGAAAGGGACGGCUAACUACGUGCCAGCAGCCGCGGUAAUACGUAGGUCCCGAGCGUUGUCCGGAUUUAUUGGGCGUAAAGCGAGCGCAGGCGGUUAGAUAAGUCUGAAGUUAAAGGCUGUGGCUUAACCAUAGUACGCUUUGGAAACUGUUUAACUUGAGUGCAAGAGGGGAGAGUGGAAUUCCAUGUGUAGCGGUGAAAUGCGUAGAUAUAUGGAGGAACACCGGUGGCGAAAGCGGCUCUCUGGCUUGUAAC
rnacentral:rRNA from 1 species